UGCUUGAUGAACCCAUCGAGGAACCUACAAAAGUUUCAACACGAGAAAAAUGAGUAUAAUUCUUCUAACUAUGUCAAUCAAGAACAAGUAAAGAACAUGAUGCAAAUAUACUCAAGUAUAGUUUUCAAGGUUCUUGUUGGUACACAUUAAGAAACAUUAUUACCCAGACACAAAGGCUACAGUACAUAAUGAUAAAACCAUAGCGAUAUACCCUAAAACCAAUUCAAGGCUUUGCAGUCAAUACAAAACCUACUAGUAGCCCACAUCUUGUAUGUAGUCAAUACACAGAACCAGGCAUUUAACACAGCAUCUUUAGAAGACUACAUCAGCAAAGUGAUAAUUGAAAUACGGAAAUCAACAUAAACAGCCAAGAAGAAACAUAAAACAACAUCUACAACACAUUAAAUUAUUGCUGGAUCCCAAGCACCGUUCAGCAAGUAAUACAGUAACAUAGAAAUCAACUUUUCGCUCCUGCACAACUGGGAGCACCAUCAGCAUCAAAGUGCUAGCAUUCUCUAAUUUAAACUUGAUACAUGGUCUACGGAACCUAGUGCCACUCCCCAGACCAACUAGCAUGUUACUGCUCGGCUCCAGCCUCCAAUAAUAACAUUCAGCUAAAAGUCAAGAGCAAGCAGGAUUUCAGUUUCUUACAAGUAGACUAGACCGCACUGCUGAUGGACCAACAGCACCCUUCAGCAACAUAUUUGAUAGCAACCUGGCCAUUGAGAUCUGCAUCAUUCAAGCAAACAACACAAGAGCAACAUAAGAACCCAAUGUGGGGGAAGGGGAGAUAUCAAGGAUAGUAGAUAAAAAAGACAUCCCUUUUGGAUAUCAUGGUCACAAACUGUCUCAAUGCAAAGCUAAAUCCCAUUUUGGACAUUGAAAGGAUUGAGUCGCCAUGUACAACGAUGUUCAACAAGCAAGCACAACAGCAACAUAAUCACAAACAAGCAAGCACAACGGCAACAUAAUCACAAACAAGCAAGCACAAUAGAAUGUGAAGCCUAUUGGAAUACAGUAGACUCACGAGCUGGAUGCCUUAGUACAAUAAUCAAAAAUAUUCUCCAACUACAGCUACUGCAUCUGAUGUGAUUAACAAUACAGCAAUCAUCUGGUGUAAUUAACAAACCUGGCCAUCAAC
rnacentral:lncRNA from 1 species